CCACUGGUACGAUUAUCAUUGAGUUAUUGGUCGUUAUUCUUCGAUUGAGCUGACUCAUUAUAGUGCUCCAAUAAUUGAGCCCUAUUCACAACAUCUGAAUAUAAACAAAGUUUGUGAGAAAUAAGGUAUUGACGUAUUUCGGGUUUUAAACCUCGCAGAAACAUUCGCGUCAUUCUCUCCUCAUUAUCAACCAAAUGGGAUGCAAAUCGGGACAACUCGGCAAACUUAGCUUCUUAUUUCUACACAUUCAUAUUGUUUUACUCCAGCUUGAUGAACUCUACCUCCUUCAUGUGACGAAUACUUUCAGAAAAGUACUUGUCAU
rnacentral:lncRNA from 1 species